rnacentral:rRNA from 1 species
AUUGAACGCUGGCGGCAUGCCUUACACAUGCAAGUCGAACGGUAACGGGCCUUCGGGUGCCGACGAGUGGCGAACGGGUGAGUAAUACAUCGGAACGUGCCCGAUCGUGGGGGAUAACGAGGCGAAAGCUUUGCUAAUACCGCAUACGAUCUACGGAUGAAAGCAGGGGACCGCAAGGCCUUGCGCGGACGGAGCGGCCGAUGGCAGAUUAGGUAGUUGGUGGGAUAAAAGCUUACCAAGCCGACGAUCUGUAGCUGGUCUGAGAGGAUGAUCAGCCACACUGGGACUGAGACACGGCCCAGACUCCUACGGGAGGCAACAGUGGGGAAUUUUGGACAAAGGGCGCAAGCCUGAUCCAGCCAUGCCGCGUGCAGGAUGAAGGCCUUCGGGUUGUAAACUGCUUUUGUACGGAACGAAAAGCCUUCUUUUAAUACAGGAGGGUCAUGACGGUACCGUAAGAAUAAGCACCGGCCAACUACGUG